rnacentral:rRNA from 1 species
UACGAAGGGGGCUAGCGUUGUUCGGAUUUACUGGGCGUAAAGCGCACGUAGGCGGAUCGAUCAGUCAGGGGUGAAAUCCCAGAGCUCAACUCUGGAACUGCCUUUGAUACUGUCGAUCUGGAGUAUGGAAGAGGUGAGUGGAAUUCCGAGUGUAGAGGUGAAAUUCGUAGAUAUUCGGAGGAACACCAGUGGCGAAGGCGGCUCACUGGUCCAUUACUGACGCUGAGGUGCGAAGGCGUGGGGAGCAAACAGG